AGAUGUGAGGGUGAUCUGGCUGCAACAUCUGUCACCCCAUUGAUCACCAGGGUUGAUUCAGCUGAUCUGGCUGGCUAGGCAGUUGUCCGCUUCCUCCCUCACCACUCCGUGUGCGUCCCUCCUGAGGCUGCACACUCGGUCGGAGAGGACGACCAUCCCGGCUAGAGGAGGACCGGUCUUGGGUCAAGGGUAUACUAGUAGAUGCGCUCCCCUGCUAGAACCUCCAAACAAGUACUAAAAAAAUCUUAGGAAUUUUCCUUCAACCUUAUGUAAAGCUUAUUAAACUUGGACUACCUUAGUCAAACACU
ensembl:misc_RNA 7SK 7SK RNA